GAUGAACGCUGGCGGCGUGCUUAACACAUGCAAGUCGAACGAUGAAGCUCAGCUUGCUGGGUGGAUUAGUGGCGAACGGGUGAGUAACACGUGAGUAACCUGCCCUUAACUCUGGGAUAAGCCUGGGAAACUCGGUCUAAUACCGGAUAGUAGCGCCUACCUCAUGGUGGGUGUUGGAAAGAUUUAGCGGUUUUGGAUGGACUCGCGGCCUAUCAGCUUGUUGGUGGGGUAAUGGCUCACCAAGGCGACGACGGGUAGCCGGCCUGAGAGGGUGACCGGCCACACUGGGACUGAGAUACGGCCCAGACUCCUACGGGAGGCAGCAGUGGGGAAUAUUGCACAAUGGGCGGAAGCCUGAUGCAGCGACGCCGCGUGAGGGAUGACGGCCUUCGGGUUGUAAACCGCUUUCAGUAGGGAAGAAGCGAAAGUGACGGUACCUGCAGAAGAAGCACCGGCUAACUACGUG
rnacentral:rRNA from 1 species